UGGCGAAUAUUGGACAAUGGGCGAAAGCCUGAUCCAGCCAUGCCGCGUGUGUGAAGAAGGUCUUCGGAUUGUAAAGCACUUUAAGUUGGGAGGAAGGGCAGUUACCUAAUACGUGAUUGUUUUGACGUUACCGACAGAAUAAGCACCGGCUAACUCUGUGCCAGCAGCCGCGGUAAUACAGAGGGUGCAAGCGUUAAUCGGAAUUACUGGGCGUAAAGCGCGCGUAGGUGGUUUGUUAAGUUGGAUGUGAAAUCCCCGGGCUCAACCUGGGAACUGCAUUCAAAACUGACUGACUAGAGUAUGGUAGAGGGUGGUGGAAUUUCCUGUGUAGCGGUGAAAUGCGUAGAUAUAGGAAGGAACACCAGUGGCGAAGGCGACCACCUGGACUAAUACUGACACUGAGGUGCGAAAGCGUGGGGAGCAAACA
rnacentral:rRNA from 1 species